UUGAAAUUGACUUAGCGGCGGACGGGUGAGUAACGCGUGGGUAACCUGCCUCAUACAGGGGGAUAACAGUUGGAAACGGCUGCUAAUACCGCAUAAGCACACAGUGCCGCAUGGUACGGUGUGAAAAACUCCGGUGGUAUGAGAUGGACCCGCGUCUGAUUAGGUAGUUGGUGAGGUAACGGCCCACCAAGCCGACGAUCAGUAGCCGACCUGAGAGGGUGACCGGCCACAUUGGGACUGAGACACGGCCCAAACUCCUACGGGAGGCAGCAGUGGGGAAUAUUGGACAAUGGGGGAAACCCUGAUCCAGCGACGCCGCGUGAGUGAAGAAGUAUUUCGGUAUGUAAAGCUCUAUCAGCAGGGAAGAAAAUGACGGUACCUGACUAAGAAGCCCCGGCUAACUACGUGCCAGCAGCCGCGGUAAUACGUAGGGGGCAAGCGUUAUCCGGAUUUACUGGGUGUAAAGGGAGCGUAGACGGCACUGCAAGUCUGGAGUGAAAGCCCGGGGCUCAACCCCGGGACUGCUUUGGAAACUGUGGUGCUAGAGUGCAGGAGAGGUAAGUGGAAUUCCU
rnacentral:rRNA from 1 species